UGUAGUAAUAAUAACAUGAUUUACACACUGUUACUCCACUCCCACAGGGACAUAAUAAAACAAGCCUUACUGUUUUAGUGCAAAAAGUUGCAAUUUACCAUGUUUAUGCACCACAGUGAGUAGAUUGGGGGGGGUCAGAGGUGAUUUUUACACUCUGUGGAUGAUACAUUUAAAACAUUUGCUGGCAUGUGUGCAAGUUUUAGGUUUGAGUGUACCCAAAAUCUUGCAUGCUUGGUC